ensembl:lncRNA
GUUGGCAGAAAAAUGCCUGACUAUCUAGUGUUGAACCAACCAACGCCUUCUGAGGAAGCCACCUAAUGCUCUGUCCAAGACAUCAGUGUGCAUUCACAGACCAAAAAAAGGAGAUGUGAGGGACAGAUGAUACGUUACCAGAAUUAGCCAUUGCCACACCAAGUACGCAUCAGACUCAGGACUCGCCUUGGUUCAACAACCUGAAAUUCAAGUUCCCUAUUCCAGGCUCACAUGCCUUCUAAUGAUAGCGUGUUCGUGUCUCCUUCAGCUUUGGGCAUGACCUUUCUGAGCUGGCUGCUUCUGUUUCUCACCUGUACAUUGAGCCAAAAAACAGCCACCUCUGAAUUUUAGGAGGGGGUGUAAGGGACAGAGCAGAUGAAAGAUUUUCUGUAUUCAGUGAUAUGACCCUGAAUGAAUGCAGCUGAGCAAACUGGCCAACUCAGAUGAGCACUAUUUUGUACUGCUCAUGUUUACCAGCGUACUGUGCCUGGGUCCAAGAGCAAGCCUACAACGCUGCUAUGGUGAAGCUGGCCAGCCCACUUUAACCUACUCAGACAUGCCAUCUAAACAAAACACUCCCUCUCCAAAAACCUCCUGCUCCUCUCUGCCCUCUUGCAAGCCCUCUUGCUGCAAUCCUUUCCUGUGCUGCCUCUGGGGUGCAAUGGCUCUUGCUCCAAAUCGUUACUUCUAUGUGGAAGAUCGCCAAGCUGGAGUGGUGGGGCAGGCUGUGCCACCUGCUGCAGAGAGCUCCCCAGCUGUGGUGUGUUAGAUCCUGCUGUUGAAAUGCACCUGGGCAGGCUGCUCUGAAAACACCUGGGGGGUUACCAGCUGAGGCCAAAGAGGCAGAAUGGGCUGGAGGAAUGCAGUUCUGACAGUAAGUUAAAGCCUAAGUGGGUUGGGCCUGCACUUACCUAUAGGAUGAUGAGAAGAGGGUGCUGAGGUGCUGCUGGGGCAGAAUGGGGGUGUUUUGGUGUGCAGAGGGCCAUGUUGGCACCAUCCUGAAAACAAUGAGCAAGCCCUGCUCUGAGGCUGCUUUACAAAUGGCUGCUGGUGGUCAUAGGACAUCUGGGAACGACGUGAAAACUGCAGAUGGUGGAAAUGUGGUAUGUGGGAACGCUGUGAAUUGUUCAGUCAGCAUCUAGGAAUAAAGAUACAAAACUUCUACAAUUAGAGAUCCUCCUCGGGAAGGAGUUUGCCAUCAGCGCACACCAGAGCUAAGCUCUUUCAAAAAGUGUCACCUCUAUUUUUGGAUGGGGGGAUUGAAUCAACUUCCAGUGUAAGGGAAAUCUGGUUUCGGGCUUGUGCAGCAGAGAAAAGGGAGUGGCAUGGCAUUGGCAGGUCACGUAGUCCAGUUCUGUACAUCAGGUACAACGGUACCAUGAAGUAUGAUUUUGACACAGGAAUCUCACCUUGAAUUUAUGUUCUGUUUUACUACUGGAAAAUGAACCAUGACUGUUAAUUAAGGACUGUUUCCAGGUUAAGUUUGCACUGUUUCUAAUUGUUCAGGUCCUCCACAUUUAAUCCAGUAUUGCCAUUCUAGCACAGAUUUGGUCCUUAGUAUGAGUUAUGCUGUGUCUUCAUGAUGUGCUGCUAUGUUUUAGCCCUGGUGUUAAGUUUAAAUGUCUUUCAGUUUUCCUUUGUGCUGGUUCUUUUAGCAGAACCCAGAGCAAGGGCCACCUAUAUGAGAAUCUUAUCCUUCAAGCUGUAAUCAGUGGGAAGCUGCCCUGCGGACCUUGGGAUUUUUCUAUUCCUAGUCAAGGGAGAAACAAAUGAAAAGAAAAGAGAGAAAAUCAUCCAUGUCAGCUGCAGCAAGCUCUGUUCCUAAGGCACUCACCUUUGGCCUGCAGCGCUAUGGGACAAAUGUGUUUGCACGAGUUGUAUGACUUACGGCUUCGGUGGACAGCAGAAGAAAGGCUGUUUAUGCACAAAAG